UACGAAGGGGGCUAGCGUUGUUCGGAAUUACUGGGCGUAAAGCGCACGUAGGCGGAUAUUUAAGUCAGGGGUGAAAUCCCGGGGCUCAACCCCGGAACUGCCUUUGAUACUGGGUAUCUCGAGUCCGAGAGAGGUGAGUGGAAUUCCGAGUGUAGAGGUGAAAUUCGUAGAUAUUGGCUGGAACACCGGUGGCGAAAGCGGCUCUCGUGGCCCGGUUCUGACGCUGAGGCGCGAAAGCGUGGGGAGCAAACAGG
rnacentral:rRNA from 1 species